rnacentral:rRNA from 1 species
CGAAUGCUGACAUAAGUAACGAUAAAGCGGGUGAAAAGCCCGCUCGCCGGAAGACCAAGGGUUCCUGUCCAACGUUAAUCGGGGCAGGGUGAGUCGACCCCUAAGGCGAGGCCGAAAGGCGUAGUCGAUGGGAAACAGGUUAAUAUUCCUGUACUUGGUGUUACUGCGAAGGGGGGACGGAGAAGGCUAUGUUGGCCGGGCGACGGUUGUCCCGGUUUAAGCGUGUAGGCUGGUUUUCCAGGCAAAUCCGGAAAAUCAAGGCUGAGGCGUGAUGACGAGGCACUACGGUGCUGAAGCAACAAAUGCCCUGCUUCCAGGAAAAGCCUCUAAGCAUCAGGUAACAUCAAAUCGUACCCCAAACCGACACAGGUGGUCAGGUAGAGAAUACCAAGGCGCUUGAGAGAACUCGGGUGAAGGAACUAGGCAAAAUGGUGCCGUAACUUCGGGAGAAGGCACGCUGAUAUGUAGGUGAGGUCCCUCGCGGAUGGAGCUGAAAUCAGUCGAAGAUACCAGCUGGCUGCAACUGUUUAUUAAAAACACAGCACUGUGCAAACACGAAAGUGGACGUAUACGGUGUGACGCCUGCCCGGUGCCGGAAGGUUAAUUGAUGGGGUUAGCGCAAGCGAAGCUCUUGAUCGAAGCCCC